ensembl:lncRNA
CUGCUGACAUUUUAUUUAACAGAUAUAUGAAAACAAGGAUGCCUUCGGUGCUGGAAGCUGCUGUCAGAGUCACUGGGGACUUGGGGAUGUAUAAAGAGACAGACAAGGCAAAACAAACAGCUCAAUCUGCUCACAGCCCGCCAGGCUGCGGAGAGCCCCACUGCGCUCGGAGCAGGGCCGUCCCCAGGGCCCCAGGACCUGCUCUGCUGUCUUCCAGCUUGAUUGUUACUGUGAAAUGUGAAAAGAAUGGAAUGGUCUUUCCUUCGCUCCAGACCCAUGAGAGAGGCUGAAAACUCUGCAGAUGUGGUCAGCUGAGAGCAGCCACUGGGGCUGGAUGUCCUUAACUGCACUGCUCCUAACUGCUGCUCCAUCGUCCUGGGAAGUGUGACGGUAAAGAGGAAAAGCUGUCCAGAUUUAAUGCCCAGAUUUCAAUUCCAAAUGCUGCAAGAGAAUGCAUCACUGAACUCUUUUGCCAGAUGGGGUAACUGAGGCACGAGGUGCACAGGGAUCUUCCCGGGUGUCUCCUGCUGCUGGGGAUGCCAUGGACUGGAGGGAUGCUCUAUCUCAUGGUGGACUGACUCUGGCAUUUCCCAUGGAAUCCCACCUUCCUGGGAGCCCAAUGUGGCCAUUCUGCUGUUUGAAAGCUCAGCCGUUGGACCUGGAGAGAAUUGGGCUUUUCUUUAUGAUGGAGAUGUCACAUUCUGGUCUUUCUGACAGUGGGCAACAGAGUUGGAAACAGAGAUCAACGCUGCGCCAAGGAUUCUGAACUGGAAAAUAGAAGUCAGCCUCGAGCUUUGCAAGCUCCAUCAUUUGUGCAGUAAUCUCAAGGCUGGGCUGGGGGUGUCCCCAGCAUUGCUGUCCCAGGCCAUGGGGGCUUCUGAUAUUGUAGUGUAGAAGUGCUGAGUGUUUCUUCACUGCAUCUGACAACUGCCAGGAGCUCACUUCCCAGCACGCAUGCAGAAUUGGCCACAGUGGUGUUGGGGGAAAUUGUCCCCAGGAGCACAAGUGAAUGCACAAGAUCUUUCCUGUAGUAUUUUGGAUAUCAAUUUCAGUUCUGGAAUCCAAACAAAUAUGAGUCAGGAGAGGAGCAAGAAGCUGUUGGGGAAGCAGAAGUCUCCACAGACCUGAGGAGAGGAUGGCACAAGACCCAUAUCUGUGCUCAGAGAAGGAAGAAAGGCUCCUCGGGAGGAGGGGACACCCCUCAGUGCUCUUGCAGAUCAUCUCAGAACCCCUUCAGGACAAUGAUGAAGCGUAUCCUCAGCCCAGCCGUCCUCCCCUUGGCAGGGCGAGCACCGGGCAGCACAGCUUGUCAUCACCUCCCCAGGAGAGCACUGAGGGUGCACAGGGCAGGAUGGCUCCUCAGGCGAAAUGAUGCAUUGCCCUGAGCUGCUCCUCUGCGGGGAGUCAAAGGGGAGAGACAUGGUGAGCUGCUCCCAGGGGGAAGCUGUGAAAUUCUCCUCCCGGGGUCUGGGCAGAGCUGCCCAGCAGCAGGAAAAACCUGCAUCUGCUGGCCAUUGUGUCAGUGGGAGAGGAAGGGCUGGAAGGGAG